AACAAACGCUGGCGGCGUGCCUAACACAUGCAAGUCGUACGAGAAAGGGUCCUUCGGGGCCUGAGUAAAGUGGCGCACGGGCGAGUAACGCGUGGAUAAUCUGCCCUUCAGUUGGGAAUAACUCAUCGAAAGGUGGGCUAAUACCGAAUAAUGCUGUGAGACCUCGGUUGAUCAGCCAAAGAGAGCCUCUGCUUGCAAGCCCUCGCUGAAGGAUGAGUCCGCGUACCAUUAGCUAGUUGGUAGGGUAAUGGCCUACCAAGGCGACGAUGGUUAGCUGGUCUGAGAGGAUGAUCAGCCACACUGGAACUGAGACACGGUCCAGACUCCUACGGGAGGCAGCAGUGAGGAAUCUUGCGCAAUGGGGGCAACCCUGACGCAGCAACGCCGCGUGAGUGAGGAAGGUCUUCGGAUCGUAAAGCUCUGUCGGAUGGAAAGAACCGCAUAGGGGUAAACAGCCCCUGUGUCUGACGGUACCAUCAAAGGAAGCACCGGCUAACUCCGUGCCAGCAGCCGCGGUAACAC
rnacentral:rRNA from 1 species